rnacentral:rRNA from 1 species
GAUGAACGCUGGCGGCGUGCCUAAUACAUGCAAGUCGAGCGAACGGACGAGAAGCUUGCUUCUCUGAUGUUAGCGGCGGACGGGUGAGUAACACGUGGAUAACCUACCUAUAAGACUGGGAUAACUUCGGGAAACCGGAGCUAAUACCAGAUGAUAUUUUGAACCGCAUGGUUCAAAAGUGAAAGACGGUCUUGCUGUCACUUAUAGAUGGAUCCACGCUGCAUUAGCUAGUUGGUAAGGUAACGGCUUACCAAGGCAACGAUGCAUAGCCGACCUGAGAGGGUGAUCGGCCACACUGGAACUGAGACACGGUCCAGACUCCUACGGGAGGCAGCAGUAGGGAAUCUUCCGCAAUGGGCGAAAGCCUGACGGAGCAACGCCGCGUGAGUGAUGAAGGUCUUCGGAUCGUAAAACUCCGUUAUUAGGGAAGAACAUAUGUGUAAGUAACUGUGCACAUCUUGACGGUACCUAAUCAGAAAGCCACGGCUAACUACGUG